CCUACGGGUGGCAGCAGUGGGGAAUAUUGCGCAAUGGGCGCAACCCUGAUGCAGCAACGCCGCGUGAAGGAAGAAGGCUCUCGGGUUGUAAACUUCUUUUGUCAGGGACGAAACUAAUGACGGUAGUUCAAGAAGAAGACACGACUAACUACGGGCCAGCAGCCGCGGUAAUAAGUAGGGGGCAAGCGUUAUCCGGAUUUACUGGGUGUAAUGGACGGGGAGGCGGGAGAGCAAGUCAGAUGUGAAAUGCCAGGGCUCAACCCUGGAACGGCAUAUGAUACUGUUUGUCUAGAGUGAUGGAGAGGCAGGCGGAAUUCCGUGUGUAGCGGUGAAAUGCGUAGAUAUAGGGAGGAACACCAGUGGCGAAGGCGGGUUGCUGGACAUUAACUGACGCUGAGGCGCGAAGGCGUGGGGAGCAAACGGGAUUAGAUACCCCGGUAGUC
rnacentral:rRNA from 1 species